rnacentral:piRNA from 1 species
UGAGCUAAAAUGUUGUGAAGGUCUUG